rnacentral:rRNA from 1 species
GGGGGGAUUAGUGGCGAACGGGUGAGUAACACUUAGAGUAACCUGCCCUUGACUCUGGGAUAAGCCUGGGAAACUGGGUCUAAUACCGGAUAUGACCGUCUGACGCAUGUCAGGUGGUGGAAAGCUUUUGUGGUUUUGGAUGGACUCGCGGCCUAUCAGCUUGUUGGUGGGGUAAUGGCCUACCAAGGCGACGACGGGUAGCCGGCCUGAGAGGGUGACCGGCCACACUGGGACUGAGACACGGCCCAGACUCCUACGGGAGGCAGCAGUGGGGAAUAUUGCACAAUGGGCGCAAGCCUGAUGCAGCGACGCCGCGUGAGGGAUGACGGCCUUCGGGUUGUAAACCUCUUUCAGUAGGGAAGAAGCGAAAGUGACGGUACCUGCAGAAGAAGCGCCGGCUAACUACGUGCCAGCAGCCGCGGUAAUACGUAGGGCGCAAGCGUUAUCCGGAAUUAUUGGGCGUAAAGAGCUCGUAGGCGGUUUGUCGCGUCUGCUGUGAAAGACCGGGGCUCAACUCCGGUUCUGCAGUGGGUACGGGCAGACUAGAGUGCAGUAGGGGAGACUGGAAUUCCUGGUGUAGCGGUGAAAUGCGCAGAUAUCAGGAGGAACACCGAUGGCGAAGGCAGGUCUCUGGGCUGUAACUGACGCUGAGGAGCGAAAGCAUGGGGAGCGAACAGGAUUAGAUACCCUGGUAGUCCAUGCCGUAAACGUUGGGCACUAGGUGUGGGGGACAUUCCACGUUUUCCGCGCCGUAGCUAACGCAUUAAGUGCCCCGCCUGGGGAGUACGGCCGCAAGGCUAAAACUCAAAGGAAUUGACGGGGGCCCGCACAAGCGGCGGAGCAUGCGGAUUAAUUCGAUGCAACGCGAAGAACCUUACCAAGGCUUGACAUGAACCGGUAAUACCUGGAAACAGGUGCCCCGCUUGCGGUCGGUUUACAGGUGGUGCAUGGUUGUCGUCAGCUCGUGUCGUGAGAUGUUGGGUUAAGUCCCGCAACGAGCGCAACCCUCGUUCUAUGUUGCCAGCGCGUUAUGGCGGGGACUCAUAGGAGACUGCCGGGGUCAACUCGGAGGAAGGUGGGGACGACGUCAAAUCAUCAUGCCCCUUAUGUCUUGGGCUUCACGCAUGCUACAAUGGCCGGUACAAAGGGUUGCGAUACUGUGAGGUGGAGCUAAUCCCAAAAAGCCGGUCUCAGUUCGGAUUGGGGUCUGCAACUCGACCCCAUGAAGUCGGAGUCGCUAGUAAUCGCAGAUCAGCAACGCUGCGGUGAAUACGUUCCCGGGCCUUGUACACACCGCUAUAGUCGAA